GCCGCACUAGCGCGGUGGUCCCACCUGACCCCAUGCCGAACUCAGAAGUGAAACGCCGUAGCGCCGAUGGUAGUGUGGGGUCUCCCCAUGCGAGAGUAGGGAACUGCCAGGC
rnacentral:rRNA from 1 species